AUUGAACGCUGGCGGCAGGCCUAACACAUGCAAGUCGAGCGAGCGGCGGACGGGUGAGUAAUGCCUGGGAAUUGCCCAGUCGAGGGGGAUAACAGUUGGACACGACUGCUAAUAACGCCUACGAUUGGAUUGCCCAGGUGGGAUUAGCUAGUUGGUGAGGUAAUGGCUCACCAAGUCGACGAUCCCUAUCUGGUUUGAGAGGAUCAGUAGCCACACUGGAACGGAGACACGGGCCAGACUCCUACGGGAGGCAGCAGUGGGGAAUAUUGCACAAUGGGGGAAACCCUGAUGCAGCAAUGCCGCGUGUGUGAAGAAGGCCUGCGGGUUGUAAAGCACUGUCAGCGGGGAGGCGUUAAUCGCAGAAGAAGCAACGGCUAACUCCGUGCCAGCCGCCGCGGUAAUAC
rnacentral:rRNA from 1 species